GCUGGUUUUCUUGGGCAAGAUUCUGCCGAAAUUUCACGAAACAAGAUAUUGUGCAAAUCCAGUCCCUGAGGAUUCGACCCUACUUCCCUUUUACUAUUCUUUUUCAUUAUUUAUUAGGGAUAGGAUAUUUUUGGUGCUUUCAACGACCGCAUCAAAUUUUGGCGCCGUUGCAGGGGACUGGCAACGUGCUAAUCUUGUUUUUUGUUUCUU
rnacentral:lncRNA from 1 species